GAUUAACGCUAGCGGCAGGCCUAAUACAUGCAAGUCGAGGGGCAGCAGGGGUAGCAAUACUCGCUGGCGACCGGCGCACGGGUGCGUAACACGUAUGUAACCUUUCCUAAACUGGAGAAUAGCUUUGAGAAAUCAGAAUUAAUACUCCAUAACACUGCGAAGUGGCAUCACUUUGCAAUUAAAGCUCCGGCGGUUUAGGGCGGGCAUGCGUCCCAUUAGCUAGUUGGCGAGGUAACGGCUCACCAAGGCUACGAUGGGUAGGGGUUCUAA
rnacentral:rRNA from 1 species